rnacentral:rRNA from 1 species
CACGGGGUUGCGAGCGUUGUCCGGAAUUACUAGGCGUAAAGGGCAGGCAGGCGGAUCCAUAAGUUUAUCGUUUAAGGCGUCGGCUUAACCGGCGUAGGGCGGUAGUUACUGUGGAUCUGGAAUGCGGUUGGGGAAGACAGAAUUCCUGGUGUAGCGGUGGAAUGCGCAGAGAUCAGGAGGAAUACCGAAGGCGAAGGCAGUCUUCCAAGCCGUUAUUGACGCUCAACUGCGAAGGUGUGGGUAUCAAACAGGAUUAGAUACCCUGGUAGUCCCUGAG